AUUGAACGCUGGCGGAAUGCUUUACACAUGCAAGUCGAACGACAGCACGGACUUCGGUCUGGUGGCGAGUGGCGAACGGGUGAGUAAUGUAUCGGAACGUGCCCAGUCGUGGGGGAUAACGUAGUGAAAAUUACGCUAAUACCGCAUACGAUCUAUGGAUGAAAGCGGGGGAUCGCAAGACCUCGCGCGAUUGGAGCGGCCGAUAUCAGAUUAGGUAGUUGGUGGGGUAAAGGCCCACCAAGCCAACGAUCUGUAGCUGGUCUGAGAGGACGAACAGAUACACUGGAUAGGAGACACGGGCCAGACUCCUACGGGAGGCAGCAGUGGGGAAUUUUGGACAAUGGGCGAAGGCCUGAUCCAGCCAUUCCGCGUGCAGGAUGAAGGCCCUCGGGUUGUAAACUGCUUUUGUACAGAACGAAAAGGUUUCUACUAAUACUAGGAGCUCAUGACAGUACUGUAAGAAUACGCACCGGCUAACUACGUGCCAGCCGCCGCCGUAA
rnacentral:rRNA from 1 species